CGUUGAGUCAUCCAUCCAUAGAAAGUGCCCCGCGUCCCGGAUCAAGCGGCGAGAUACACAAAUGUUGAUACGUAAAAGGCGAUCGCGUAUAAGGCGAAAUUUGUCGUGGAACAGAAAUUAUGCGUGUUGUAAAAUAAGUGAAUUGUAAAAAGAACGCUUCUAAUAUGUCACUCUAUGAUAAAUUAUCAACCAUGUAAUUGAUCGAAAACCAUUUGGCAAUCGCAAACGCGACGUAACUUACAAAUCAAAAUGACAAGGAACAAGAAUCAAAUCACAAUCAUAUGCAAAGAUCGGUCGCAGCUUCUACGUAUUUUGUAUCUUUUUUCUAAAAGUUCCUCUUUUUUUCGAUAUACAUAUAUCCUGUCUUGUUAAUAAAACAUAAGAGCGUAAUUAAAGAAGUUUGAACCGUAUAAUACAAUACUAUAGUUAAAAAAAGAAAUAAAACUUUACGAAAAAAUUGGUCGAAAUUUUACGAAAAAUUUUGGUCGUAAAUUUGCUCUGAAUCAACUGCAAAAAAUAAGUAAACAAAACAACGAAUAAUUUAGCUUAUAGUUUAUCCAACGCAAUGACCUGCAUAACUGAUAAUUUUUUGCUGCAGUUUUUUUUUAGUAAAUAACUUUUAAACGAGUAAAUAGAUCCAAAUAAACUUUUGUACAAAUAUUUAUUAGAUUUUUUUAUUAGUACUAACUAAUAUUUGCUACUAGUACUAACUAAUUUUUGUAUUAAAUUUGAUUUAAUUUGUAAUGGUAUUUUCUCAUUGCAAAUAAGUACUAUCUACAAAACGCGAUUUUACAUAAGAAUCAAUGCAAACAAAAAAUCAAACAAAUAUUAAACUAUUAAAAGGAUUGUGUUCAUACACAGAAAGUCAGAUGUAAUAAUGGAAUAAAAUCUAUAAAAUUUACACACCCACUUUAGAUAAGAAUAUGCAAAGUGGAUAUAUGUAUAUAUAUAUUUUUUGUGAUGUGCUUUGAGAUGUAUAUCCACUUUGACAUAGUUUCCUUAUCCUUCUAUCCUCCUCGUUUCCUAUCUAAAAAAAGGCAUGUUAAAUCGAUACUCGCAUCUCUUGAAAUUUUCUCGACAAUUUAUUGUUGCAUUGCGAUACCGAUUGAUUCUCCCCCUGCGCUAACUUCGUGAGCGGCUGUCAUUGCAUAUUUUGACAGUUGUGCGUCUAAUGUCUAAUAAUUUAUUGUAUGCAUUGUAAACGUGUCAUAGUAAGAAUUAUUAGUAAAGAAAAACUAAAUAACACGCGUGAAACGCGCGUCUGUGAAGUCCAAUAUAUAUAUCUAUUGCAAUGCAGAAAACGAAGAAAAAAGAGAACUCGACGAUUGUUACCAACGCGGCGCCGGACCGACGAAAUUUAUUUGGAAAGUCGAACGAGUUUGGGCCGCUCGUCACUUUCGCCCACUGGAUUACUGUCUUUCCAGUCGAAUAUGCAAAGCGGUUUUCACUAAAGACUGAAUAAAUUAAUUGCACAGCAGAAUGGAGGAAGAGAAAAGAAGAAAGAAUGAAAGACAAUAUUAGCCACAACUAAUUUGCAAAGUGACAAUUCGCGUGAUCGAGACGCACGAUGUUCGAUACAUUCCAUAGAACAGUGAUGUUCAACCUAUUUUAAACUGAGGAUCAUUUUCAGAAAUAAACAAAAUUGUGGAUCGAAGAGUUAGAAUUUUAUUUCAUCAAUAAGGAAAUAAAAAAUCAAGAUAAUUUAUAAACAUCAAAUAUUUUAAACAUAUAAUCUGCUUAUAAAGUAAGCUACAUUUUCGAAUUGUUAAUAUUUUAAAUAAAUUGUUAAAAAAAUUCUUAAAAAAAUGCCUCUCAAAUAAACUGUAAAACUGUGAA